UACGGAGGAUCCAAGCGUUAUCCGGAUUUAUUGGGUUUAAAGGGUGCGUAGGCGGCCUUGUAAGUCAGUGCUGAAAUAUCCCGGCUUAACCGGGAGGGUGGCAUUGAUACUGCAGGGCUUGAGUAAAGUUGAGGUUGGCGGAAUUGACGGUGUAGCGGUGAAAUGCUUAGAUAUCGUCAAGAACACCUAUAGCGAAGGCAGCUUACUAGGCUGUAACUGACGCUGAGGCACGAAAGUGUGGGGAUCAAACAGG
rnacentral:rRNA from 1 species